AGCUCCAAUAGCGUAUAUUAAAGUUGCUGCAGUUAAAAAGCUCGUAGUUGGAUUUGUGGCGCGGUCGUCCGGCGGGGCUUCCGGUUUCAUAGUAUCCCGGGGCCGUUUGUCUGGGUUCUUGGCCGCCCCAUUCUUCGGUUGCGUGUCGCUGGCAUUAGGUUGUCGGCUUCUUCGCGCCGAUCGUUUACUGUGAAAAAAUUAGAGUGUUCAAAGCAGGCUAUCGCUCUGAAUACUACAGCAUGGAAUAACACGAUAGGACUCCGAGCCUAUUCUGUUGGUCUUCGGGACCGGAGUAAUGAUUAAGAGGGACAGUUGGGGGCAUUCGUAUUCCGAUGUCAGAGGUGAAAUUCUUGGAUUAUCGGAAGACGAACAUCUGCGAAAGCAUUUGCCAAGGAUGUUU
rnacentral:rRNA from 1 species